CUCGCCAUAGCUCAACUGGAUAGAGUAAGCGGCUUCUACCCGCUUUGUUGUGGGUUCGAAUCCUACUGGCGAGGCCA
rnacentral:tRNA from 1 species